CCUACGGGCGGCAGCAGUGAGGAAUAUUGGUCAAUGGACGAGAGUCUGAACCAGCCAAGUAGCGUGAAGGAUGACUGCCCUAUGGGUUGUAAACUUCUUUUAUAUGGGAAUAAAAUGUUCCACGUGUGGGAUUUUGUAUGUACCAUAUGAAUAAGGAUCGGCUAACUCCGUGCCAGCAGCCGCGGUAAUACGGAGGAUCCGAGCGUUAUCCGGAUUUAUUGGGGUUAAAGGGAGCGUAGGAGGAUUGUUAAGUCAGUUGUGAAAUUUUGCGGCUUAACCGUAAAAUUGCAGUUGAAACUGGCAGUCUAGAGUACAGUAGAGGUGGGCGGAAUUCGUGGUGUAGCGGUGAAAUGCUUAGAGAUCACGAAGAACACUGAUUGCGAAGGCAGUUCACUGGACUGCAACUGACACUGAGGCGCGAAAGUGUGGGUAUCAAACAGGAUUAGAUACCCUAGUAGUC
rnacentral:rRNA from 1 species